UACGUAGGGGGCAAGCGUUGUCCGGAAUCAUUGGGCGUAAAGAGCGUGUAGGCGGCUCGGUAAGUCCGCUGUGAAAGUCCAGGGCUCAACCCUGGAAUGCCGGUGGAAACUGUCGAGCUAGAGUCCGGAAGAGGCGAGUGGAAUUCCUGGUGUAGCGGUGAAAUGCGCAGAUAUCAGGAGGAACACCAAUGGCGAAGGCAGCUCGCUGGGAUGGUACUGACGCUGAGACGCGAAAGCGUGGGGAGCAAACAGG
rnacentral:rRNA from 1 species